GACGAACGCUGGCGGCGUGCCUAAUACAUGCAAGUAGAACGCACAGUUUAUACCUUAGCUUGCUACACCAUAAACUGUGAGUUGCGAACGGGUGAGUAACGCGUAGGUAACCUGCCUGGUAGCGGGGAUAACUAUUGGAAACGAUAGCUAAUACCGCAUAAUAUUGAUUAUUGCAUGAUAAUUGAUUGAAAGAUGCUAUUGCAUCACUACCAGAUGGACCUGCGUUGUAUUAGCUAGUAGGUGAGGUAACGGCUCACCUAGGCGACGAUACAUAGCCGACCUGAGAGGGUGAUCGGCCACACUGGGACUGAGACACGGCCCAGACUCCUACGGGAGGCAGCAGUAGGGAAUCUUCGGCAAUGGACGAAAGGCUGACCGAGCAACGCCGCGUGAGUGAAGAAGGUUUUCGGAUCGUAAAGCUCGGUUGUAAGAGAAGAACGGGUGUGAGAGUGGAAAGUUCACACUGUGACGGUAUCUUACCAGAAAGGGACGGCUAACUACGUG
rnacentral:rRNA from 1 species